UACUAUUUAGUAUGGUAGUUUGGGUGUAACCAUGGCAACCCUUGAGAACACGACUACUAGUGGCAGUCUAUAUGAGUACAUACUACUGAGUACUUUAGUAUGAGAGUUUAACUGUAGCCAUAGCGACCUGUGAGAAAGCGACCACUGUUAGCAGGCUCUUCUCAUACUUAAUAUAAGCUUAAUUUGGAUUAAGUGAGCAAUAUUUUCAUGUUGUACCCCGAGCUGGUAGUUUAUUAGUUAUUAAAUCUGUGUUUGUAGACUCUAUAACAAGUGUCUUAUUUCCACAGGAGCCUACAGCUUCCCUCAAUACGGUUUACUGCAUGUUUACAAUUCAUACUUAGCUGCUAGUUCUCCAGACAGGACGUUUUCAAGCAUUGAAAACAUAUCACUAGUCCAUUUUCAAGAUAAAGUAGACAUUUCUGAGACACUAUAGUCAUUCAGUUUCUCUUAAUGAAAGAGUUUCAGUGGUCAAGGCCAAGUCUAAAUGUCUUUGUUUAUGCAUUUCAGGUAGGUAAGAGUGAACAUGUUUGCAUGGGAGGCGUUUGAAGCUGGGUUUGUGGUAUUUUGUGUAGACUGGGAUAUAAUCUGUGACCCUUUAAAAAAACUUUAACAGAAUCGGCGUCCAUGAUAUCCAGUUGACAUCCAUAAUAAACCACCUGAAGACAAAAGAAAGCUGUUUUUUUUUUUAAUUUUUUUUUUUAUUAUUUAUUUAUUUUUUUUUUAAGUAGACAUUGACUAUAUGUCCUGAGGCUUGCUGGAAAGACAUGGUCUACUUGGUUUUGAUGUCCUUUUUUCCAUCCAUCCAUCUACAGUGAUUUACAUUUACAUGUAUUCAUUUAGCAGACACUUUUAUCCAAAGUGACUUACAAAUGUGGAAAUACAAGCAAAGCGAUAUAUCAAGCGGAGAACAAUACAAGUAGUGCUACAUUACAAGAUCUUUUAACUGAGUUCUAGAAAGCAAAGUGUGCAGAGUAGAGGUGUAAAUGGGGUUGGCAUUUUAGGGGUUAGUUAGGUGUUCACGGAAGAGGUGGGUCUUUAGCUGUUCUUUGAAGAUAAUGACAGAUUCUGCUGUCCUGAUUGAAGUUGGAAGUUCAUUCCACCACUGAAGGACAGUUAGUUUGAAGGUUCUGGAAAGGGACCUUGAGCCACAGUGAGUAGGCACUACUAAGCGUCGGUUGUUAAUCAACUGUGCAGUUGUUGAAAUGUGGUCUGUAAAGGUCAAGCUGUCAUCAAAAAUCACCCCAAGGUUCCUGGCUGUCCUGAAUGUGGUUGAGCUGAGCUGAUUGUUUUAUCCUAGGCAUGGUCAUGGAGAUUCCGGGGCUUAUCCAGGGAAUACUGGAUCAAGAUUGGACUACAUUCUGCAUAGAAACCGAGCCUAUCUCAGAUGACAGUGCACGCAUUUGGAGUAGCUAUGCCACCUACCAUUGUGUUUUUGGGUGGUAGGAGGAGACCAGAGAACCUGGAGGAAAACCACACAGACACGGCAAAACAUGCAAAUCUCUAGACACACAGUAUCCUGAGCUGCGGAUUGAACCAGGGUCCCUGGUGCUGUGAGGUGACAAUGCUAUCCACUGCACCAAUGUACGACCCUUCCUUUAUUCAACUGAUGAAAACUACACACUGUUCAUGCUGUACAUGUUACCAGAUCCAGUUUUCUGAGUGAGUUUCUGAACGGAAAAACCCCUUUGUUGGGUCUACAUUUAAUUAUCACACUGUAUUGAGUGAGUCUAGGGAAAUUGGACAAGUAUAGUAGUAUGCAGUAACACAGUCAAUGUCCCAACCCCCCAGGUAGAGAGUAGUACUUCAUACAUGAAUAAAACGUGCUCGAACACAGUAGUUUGAAUUUUGAUCAAAUCUUGCAUAGGCUUUUGAUUUGGUCAUGGCUGUGAUGAUGAUGGUAGUUACAAUGAUAAAAAAAAAAAAAAAACAGUAGUGACAUACAUUUACAGCAUCAUACUUCAAAAAUAUAAUAUCCUAUCCUUGGUAGAAAAAAUUGCACAAUUUAGUGAAUCAGUUGGAGGCGAUACUUAAGUACUUGCCAAACACAGAUUGCUCCUUGCCAACUGUUGCCAUGGUAGACAUGACAGCAACACACCAUUACUGAAACGGAGCACUUUUACCUGUCGGAAUAAAUGCACAUUGAAUAUUUUAAUUAAAAGAUUCCACUUGAAAGCUUAUGAGACUCAUCCUUAUCUUCAAGUGAAAGAAGCACCUCAAGCAACAGCUGCAUGCGUCCUGAAAACGUGACGCAUCUAGAACAGGCCGUCCAACCGAAAACAGCAACACCACAUCUCUCCCUGUGGAAUCGAUUGAAGAGAAACCUGAGGAAAUAUACACUUUAGAGGAAAGCAGAGGAAAGAGCUACAGUAGCGUAUUGAGAUCCACACCCAGAAAAAUGAGCAACACUUGGAUUAUUAAAGAAAAGCUGGAGCAGAUCAAGGCAGAAAUGCAGAGACUUUCAGAACGGCAUGCUCUCACUCGCCCUGAACGGAAAGCGUAUCAUCCUUUUGUGUGGAACAGCCUGAGUCCUUACAGAGACACCACAGAGAUUGACUAUCUGAUCGUCAUGGCCUCUGUCCAUCGUACCCGGAAUCGAAGAGCUUCAGUAAGAACUGUCCAUCUGUCACACUGACACAUCCUGUCCAGUCAUUUGAUGAAUAUUGGACAUUUAUGAUUUUCACACUGACAAACAUAAUGAGGAAAGUAAUGUAUUUAUAAUUUUACACAGCUAAUGAACAAUUAAUGUGCUAAAGCCUACACAAAACUCCUCUUUAUUCGAUUUAAUGACAUUACUGUUUGGGCAUACAUUAUGACUGGCCUUUCAGUAUUUGCCUGGCAAUAUAUUCUUCUUUUCUAGUCUUUUACAAGCUUUUAAUGUUUUACAAGCUCCAGCACUGAUCACACAGAGUACGUCACAGAGACUCACUGAACAUCCCACUGGCAAAUAAGAUUAAACAGAAUGACUGUGAUAUAAUUUAUUGUGUCCUUCAUGUAAGUCCCAAUCAUUUUUAAAAUUCAAGCAUGUUGGAUCAUGCUGCUUGAAGACAGAGUUCAUAAAACGCCUAAAGAGCAUCUUUUAGAUAUGCAUAUGUGCCAUUGUGUGUGAAACCGCUUUGAAAUUCUUAGAUGUUCAACGCAGAAACUGAUGAAAGAGAAAGAUGUGUGCAUCCACAUGGUUGGGAGAGAAGUAUUAAAAGAAUGCUGCAGCCGGUAUGAAAGGGUUUAAGAUUAUCAAAGAGAUUUAGGAGAAUAAAUUGGCAGGCAGUUCACUGGCGUGAGGGAUUAUGGCGCAAGAAAAGUGUAAAUGUUUAAUGGCUCGCACUCUCUCUCUCACUAUUUUUUAUUUUUAUUUUUUUACAUUUAUUUAUUCUUGGAAGGCACUCAUGUGUCUGGCUUUAGUUCCUGAUAAGCCCAAAGCAGAAAGUAGGUUGCAGCCUUUUUUUCCUCAUUCCAAACACUAUCACUUUCUGGAGACAUUUGGAUGGGGGAAGUAAGAGAUUUAAAGCACAAGGCUUAUUAAAGUUAAGCUACUACGUUUUCCAGUGGACUUGAGUGCAAUUCUUAAACCCGUGAUAUAAAAUGGUGUCUGUUUUUCUCUCCGUCCACUUACCCAAGCACAAAAACAAGGUUUUUUGGGGCUGUGUAAAGAAAAAUAUGAGAUUUGCAUUUAUCUGGUAAAAAGCAUAAAAUAGGCAAAAGAGCCACUUGAUGCAAGAGUUCUCUCUUUUUUUCCCCUAAGUGAUUUACUUCCCCCAACCCCCCCCCCCUUUGCAGUCAUCUCUUGUUUUGCCUUGAACACCAUUUUCAUGAAGCUUUGAAAAGAAGCCCCCCCUCCCUUUUUUUUUUUGUUGCCAAAGCGCAAUGCAAUUCACCCCAGCUUAUCACUAUUCCUGCAGUCCAAGGUUAUGAUAUUUACUAUUUGCAUUAAAUCCACCAAAGACUGCUUUAAAUUUAAAUACAGACUACUGACUUGACUUUGCCUCACAUGUUAUAUAAAAUACUGUGCUCAAAUAAUAUGAAAUUAACUCAAAUGAAAUAGCAUUUGCUUAUCAUUAAAAGAGUUUAAACGUGAUUCUAACCCGAAGUCGGUGUUGUUUUGUGAUGGCAAUCAGAAUAACGUGGGUCUAAUGUAGGUGUUUUGCAUAAUGUGUUCAGUAUGACUUUCAUUUAAGGUUCAACGAUAAACUAUUUAAAAGCAAGUUGUACCUACAGUACUUUACUAUAAUUAAGGAACCAUUAAUCUAUGAAGUUGGAUCUCAGUGGAGCAGGUAGCAUUAGCACCUCACAACUUUGGGUUUCCUCACUCUUACCAAAAACAUGGCAGUAUGUGGAUUGGGCAAGAUAAACUCCUAUUUCUGAAUGUGUGUGUGUGUGUGUGUGUGUGUACAUAUCUGUACAUACAUGUAUGGUGCUCUGUCAUGCACUGGCAUCCCAUCCAGGGUUUGUUCCAGGGAUAAGCACCAGAUCCACCGCAAUCCUGACGAGGAUUGAGUGACUUUACUGAAAGUGAGUGAGUAUUGCAUAAAAGAUUAUUCAUAUAACAUUUAACAACAUUUUUAUAUAAUGUAUUAAUAUUUAGUGACUAGGUUAACACAUUACCUCAACUUUUAUUUUUAAU